rnacentral:rRNA from 1 species
AGAGUUUGAUCAUGGCUCAGAACGAACGCUGGCGGCGCGCCUAAUACAUGCAAGUCGAGCGAGAAGGUGUAGCAAUACACUUGUAAAGCGGCGAACGGGUGAGGAAUGCAUGGGUAACCUACCCUCGAGUGGGGAAUAACUAGCCGAAAGGUUAGCUAAUACCGCAUACGUUUCCGGGACUUCGGUUCCGGAAAGAAAGCAAUACCGUGGGUAUUGCGCUCAUGGAUGGGCUCAUGUCCUAUCAGCUUGUUGGUGAGGUAACGGCUCACCAAGGCUUCGACGGGUAGCUGGUCUGAGAGGACGAUCAGCCACACUGGCACUGCGACACGGGCCAGACUCCUACGGGAGGCAGCAGUAAGGAAUAUUGCGCAAUGGACGAAAGUCUGACGCAGCGACGCCGCGUGGGGGAUGAAGGUCUUCGGAUUGUAAACCCCUUUCGGGAGGGAAGAUGGAGUGGGUAACCACUUGGACGGUACCUCCAGAAGCAGCCACGGCUAACUUCGUGCCAGCAGCCGCGGUAAUACGAAGGUGGCAAGCGUUGUUCGGAUUCACUGGGCGUACAGGGAGCGUAGGCGGUUGGGUAAGCCCUCCGUGAAAUCUCCGGGCCUAACCCGGAAAGUGCAGAGGGGACUGCUCAGCUAGAGGAUGGGAGAGGAGCGCGGAAUUCCCGGUGUAGCGGUGAAAUGCGUAGAGAUCGGGAGGAAGGCCGGUGGCGAAGGCGGCGCUCUGGAACAUUUCUGACGCUGAGGCUCGAAAGCGUGGGGAGCAAACAGGAUUAGAUACCCCGGUAGUCCAA